AUUGAACGCUGGCGGAAUGCUUUACACAUGCAAGUCGAACGGCAGCACGGACUUCGGUCUGGUGGCGAGUGGCGAACGGGUGAGUAAUACAUCGGAACGUGCCCAAUCGUGGGGGAUAACGUAGCGAAAGCUACGCUAAUACCGCAUACGAUCUAAGGAUGAAAGCGGGGGAUCGCAAGACCUCGCGCGAAUGGAGCGGCCGAUGGCAGAUUAGGUAGUUGGUAGGGUAAAGGCCUACCAAGCCGACGAUCUGUAGCUGGUCUGAGAGGAUGAUCAGCCACACUGGGACUGAGACACGGCCCAGACUCCUACGGGAGGCAGCAGUGGGGAAUUUUGGACAAUGGACGCAAGUCUGAUCCAGCCAUUCCGCGUGCAGGAUGAAGGCCCUCGGGUUGUAAACUGCUUUUGUACAGAACGAAAAGGCUCUGGUUAAUACCUGGGGCUCAUGACGGUACUGUAAGAAUAAGCACCGGCUAACUACGUGCCAGCAGCCGCCGUAAAAC
rnacentral:rRNA from 1 species